CCCGAUAAUCACCGAGCCUGAGGCGAAUAAUUGCUUUAGUAUUUUUACACAAGUCUUUUGUGUUUUUUGGGACCGAAUUUAUUUUAAUUUCGCUUAUUUCUUUAACACUAUCUUCCACAAAACAGCUAGCCGCCAUUUUGAAAAUUUCGAUUUUGUUAUAUUCACCUGUAGGUGAAUAUAACAGCUUAAUACGUCAAAUUUGACCAAUCAACUUGUAUAUGAUUUGUUAUGUUCACUUGUGCGAAAAUACUAACUAUUAUUAUAUUUAAAAACUAAAUGGAUGUUUCAUAAGCCAGGAUUUGUUCCUGAACAGUCAAACACUUUUUCUCUGUAGCCUCGGCAUAGAUCAUCUCUGUGCAGUUCAGUUUGUCUGAGAGAUCUCUGUUAUGUGUCUCUGGAAGUAGCCAGGUUAGUAAGGCACCAACAAGUGCUAGGAUGGACAGUAUUGUAUAAGGUACAGAGGUUGUCG